rnacentral:lncRNA from 1 species
GUUAUUGUUGCAGAAUAUGCCUUUAUAAUGUUGAGCAUAGCAGCAUUUCUUAACUUUUGAAUACUUAUAAGUAUAGGAAUUGGUGCUGAUCAAAAUCUCUGUAGUGACCAUUAAUUGAUUAAAACCUUUACGAAUUGCCCACCAUUCCCCCAUGCUCAGAAAACAAAACAAUCUUAACAGAACAAACACUGCUGAGCAGAAUUUUAAACUGUUUAUUUUACCCAAAGUAAAUCUUCACUCUCCUUGGACUCCUAAUUGAAUAAGGGGUCUUUUUAAUGUUCUCAUUUUGUUAUUUUGUCCAUCAGAUGUAUAUUUUCCUACUUCAUUACCCAAGGUAUCUCACUGAGAAUGUUUGAGAAAGAAAAGUAUCUCCUAGUACAAUACCUAACAUAAAGGUGGUAUAACAAGCACUAAUUCAGAAGUUACUUUUUAAGACUAUAAUUCCAAAAGUAUCAGGCAAAUGAGAUGGAAGGCUGGGUUACAAAAUCUUGUUUCCAUCAUUUUAUCUAUAAUUAGCUCUUGUGAUCUAUAUAAGGAGCAAAAUAUAUUUACAAAUUUCACUGAAACACACUUGAAAUCCAAAUAAAAAGAAGUAAUUCAUACACAAACACAGUACUAAGAUUGAAAACAAGUUGUCACAUUAACACUGGAAGCCAUCUUUGAAUGACUGCUGCCAUAUUUUAUCACAGUAAUUUUUAGCUAACGACAGCAUUUGUAAACUUAAACUUUCUCUCAUAGAAAGGGGGCUGGUACCUAUUAAAGUUUUGUUUUAUGCAAUACUAUAGUGGCUUGUUAUUUUGGCAAUUAGAAGUAGACUCAAUGGAGCUUCCAGUUUGGUUGCUGGCAGCCAUACUGGCUUUCUUGAUUUCAGUACUCCAAAGAAUAUGGUGGUCUUAUGUAGUAGCUGACCACUAAAGAGGGGAGGAUUAAAAGGGAAUCAGUUAUCAGUUUGUAGUAUAGAAUGCACCAAGAAAGAUCAAUGGACAACUGACAUAGUUGUGUUGAAAAAUUAACUGUAUCAUAGCUCUCUACUGCCAGAACAGCAAUGGUGUACAACAAAAGAAAUGAAUAAUACAAAAGUCAUCAAGCCACAAAGAAAACCAGUAUUUAAAGGCAUUUAAUACCUACUAGUGCAAAUUCGAAGAGAAGAAACAAUCUGUAUUUAAAAAAUGUUUUCAUUUUCUGUAAGAUAAAAUGAACUGGCAAACAAAC